UGUCUAAACCAAUGAAAAUUGGCAUGGCAUAAAACCAGUCUAAGGAAACGGAAGCUCUCCGUUCAAUGGAACCUUAGACUGGUUGUGAACCGAAAGGUUCAUAGCUAUUUCCGCAAGGGAAUGGC
rnacentral:sRNA from 1 species